ensembl:lncRNA
UCAGGAGGAAAGUCGCCCCCUUACGCUCAUUCAUUCUCCUCUCUUGAAUGAACGCAUCGGGGCACAGCUGGAGCCCCAUCCUGAGAUGUGUUGUGCUGUGGGGUUCCUCGUCGGUGGGAUAUGGGGAUCCUGGAAUGGUGAUGGCGGUCCUCUCAGAAACUGUGGGAGUCCGAGAAGCCGGGGCGGAGGGGGCUGAAGAGGUUAAGGAUGUCUGAAGGAGGAAAUAGGGGAGUUCAGUGGGAGCUCAGAGGGGGACGUGGGGUGCUGCUGGGGACUGUGGGGCUCUGUGAGGUCCCAGGUUGCUGGGGGGAGGUGUACCGGGAAAAGGUCCUUGAGGAGCUAUGGGGCUCUGUGUGGGGUGUGGGAAGGAUAUAGGGACAUUGGGGGAUAUGGGAAUACAGGCUGCAGGAGCAGAAUGCUGUUCAGGAGAAGACAAGACGUGGGCUGCAGGUGGGACACAGGGACAUGGGCUAGUAUGGGGACGUAGAGAGUAUGGGAGGAUGUGGGGAGCGGUUUGAGGUAAAAAGGGGGGGGGGGGUGGGCAGAGUUUGCAGUGGUUUCAUUUCAUCCUGAGAGGGGACUGGGCGUCCCUGUGGCCCAAAGGUGGGGCCCUGAGCCGUUACCCCACAUGAGCCAUAACCCAAGAUGACCUCAUCGCCCUGUAUGUGCGUGACCCCAUGGCUGCACGUGACCCACAGCUUUGGCGGAACCAUACCCCCACAUGACCUUGUGACUCCCUGACUCUGCCUGCCCCCAUCACGCUGUGACCCAAUGCCAUGUGGCCCCAGAACUCUGGGAUCCCUGCCCCCACCUCACCCUGACCAUACAACCCCAUGUGACCAGGAACUCCAUGUCACCCAAUCAGACCCCAUAGCCCCACUCAAUCCCGUAACUCUGUGACCCUGCAGGACCCCCAUGUGACCCACGACCCCACGUCCUCACCCCAUGUGUCCGUAGAACCAGCUGCAUGAGGGGAAAAGGCAUCUCCUCCGCAGGGUUGGGCUGCACCACAGCUGCCCCAAAGAAGCCAUGGGGCAGGCUGCAGCCGUACGCCUCAGUUUGGAGAGCUGGGAACUGGCCAAAGGGGCCAGAAGAAGGACAUGAAUGCUUCUGUAGGGAAAUACCUGUCCCAGGGUUUGGUGGGUUGGUAGCUUCUGUUUCUGUAAGUGGAUGAGAACAGAACAAACUGAUCCCACUGAGACCAGGGAAGGGACUGGAGCUUGGCUUGAACCAGGAACGGAGCAGGGAUGGACUGAAGCAAAUCAACUCCUUCACGGGACAGUGGCAGAAGAAAUCCAAGUCAGCUGCAGAACGAACAACACAACCCCUUACAAAAGGGCGUCCCAGACUGGGGCCGUUGCAGCAGUAGGGGCAGUGCCUCUUGGAAGGGAUCUCGCGGUGGGGAAGAAAC